CAGUCGCCGCGGUAAUACGAGGGGGGCAAGCGUUGUUCGGAAUUAUUGGGCGUAAAGGGCGCGUAGGCGGUUUGACAAGUCUGAUGUGAAAUCUCUGGGCUCAACCCAGAGUCUGCAUCGGAAACUGUCGAGCUUGAGUAUGGGAGAGGUGAGUGGAAUUUCCGGUGUAGCGGUGAAAUGCGUAGAUAUCGGAAGGAACACCUGUGGCGAAAGCGGCUCACUGGACCAUUACUGACGCUGAGGCGCGAAAGCUAGGGGAGCAAACAGGAUUAGAUACCCGCGUAGUCCCUGUCUCUUAUAC
rnacentral:rRNA from 1 species